rnacentral:lncRNA from 10 species
UCUGAUGGAGGGCUACAUUUCACUCAGCAAGAUUUUUUCAUUUUAGUAUCUGAUAAUGAGACUAUUCUGCCAUAGCACAGAGCAGCUACUUACAAUCUCCCUCCCCUCACGUGUGUGUGUGUGUGUGUGUGUGUGAGAGAGAGAGAGAGAGAGAGAGAGAGAGAGGAAUAUGAGAGAGAGAGGGAACAAGCAAAGUAAUACAUUCUACC